AAACUUAAAGGAAUUGACGGAAGGGCACCACCAGGAGUGGAGCCUGUGGCUUAAUUUGACUCAACACGGGAAAUCUCACCAGGCCCGGACACUGGAAGGAUUGACAGAUUGAGAGCUCUUUCUCGAUUAGGUGGGUGGUGGUGCAUGGCCGUUCUUAGUUGGUGGAGUGAUUUGUCUGGUUAAUUCCGAUAACGAACGAGACUCUGUCCUGCUAAAUAGUGUCGGCCUCUCUUUUGGGCCGACAAUUCUUCUUAGAGGGACUGGCAGCUCCUAGCUGCACGAGAUAGAGCAAUAAUAGGUCUGUGAUGCCCUUAG
rnacentral:rRNA from 1 species